CGGCGUGUCCGGCUUUUGGCGGGCUUUUAGUUUGUCUGCGUUGUCUACGCGCGCCGCAAUUGCAAGACGCUUUGAAGCGAACGGCGGUGGCGUGGCCAUGAGCACGUCCCAAGGACACGACACGGGUCAAUCUGGACGUUCAUUUCGGCGUCGCGUUAGAGGCGCUGUAGAUGCCAGCCUCGAAGCUGCGUCAUCGCAGCUGUUGUGCACGAGCUUGCAGGCGCCGUGCGAAGCAGAAAUUGAUUCAGACUACUCAGACGGAGAACCUGAGUUAUGUGAUUCUUUCUCAGACCUUUUGCCGUCCUCAGCGCAUGUUUCAGUGGCGUGCACGCCCCAGCAUGAACUCGAUGCAUGUUUAUCGCCUGGUGCUCUUCAACGCUCUCGUGUGCUGCCGCCGGUGAUGGUUGAGUGUAGUGUAAGCGACAGCAAAACAGGGUGCCUUAAAGACCGUUUGAAGUCUUGGGCAGUUAAAUUCAAUGUUUCACACCGCUGCCUCACAGCGCUUCUGAAAGACCUCCGAAAUUCAUCUCCAGCUGUAUUUACUGAACUGCCAAGGUCUGCUGUGUCGUUGCUAGGAACGCCCAGGCGAAUUGAAGGAAUAGUCACUAUCGGAAACGGACAGUACUACCAUUUUGGUCUCGUGGCUGGCCUACAACAUGCUUUGAGGGAAACGUGCACCAUACCUCAACUUCUAGAACUCAUUGUUAACAUAGAUGGCUUGCCUCUCACUAAGAGCACCAAGGCGCAGUUUUGGCCCAUACUGUGUCAAUUGAAGAACGUUGAAAGUAGUGAGCCUUUUCCCAUUGGUGUGUACUUUGGGCACAGCAAACCUGCAAAUAGCAAUGAGUUCUUGAAGGAGUUUGUUUCAGAACUCAGUGAAGCACAAGAAGGAGGGUUAUUUUUUAGGGGAAGAGUCAUCGAAGUACAAAUCCUUGCUGUAGUUUGUGAUGCCCCUGCCCGUGCAUUUGUGCUGUCAGUAAAAGGACACAGUGGAUACAGCAGCUGUACAAAGUGUGUAACAGAGGGCAGGUUUGUUAAUGGCCGAAUGUGCUUCCCAGAACUGAAUGCGGCCCCUAGAACAGAUGUCAGCUUUAGGGAACACACUGAUGAGGACCACCAUAUUGGCACAUCAAUUCUUGAGAACCUCUCAUUUGACUUAGUUAAACAGGUUCCUCUUGACUACAUGCACUUGGUGUGCAUAGGAGUUAUGCAUAAGCUGCUGCGGCUUUGGUUUCAAGGUCAACAUUCAUUCAGAAUGGCCGCUCAAGUAAAAGAUGAGAUUUCUAAAAGAAUUGAAAAGCUUGCAGCUUGUAUCCCAUGUGAGUUUAACCGCAGACCAAGGCCACUGAGUGAGCUAGACAGGUGGAAGGCAACAGAGUUUCGACUCCUUUUGCUUUACCUGGGGCCUGUAACUUUUUAUCACCUUGUACGAAGUGAUUUGCAUGGGAACUUCAUGGUUUUACAUUGUGCAAUUACAAUCCUAGCUUCCCCUAGAUUGUGUGUACAGUUUGUAGACUAUGGUGAACAGUUGCUUCAGCACUUUGUGACCACCUUUAAGGGCAUAUACGGGAUAGACUUUGUGUCUCAUAAUGUCCACGGUCUUAUACACCUCGCAGAAGAUGUUAGAAACUUGGGGCAUCUAGACAGUUGGAGUGCCUUCCCGUUUGAGAAUUUCAUGCAGAGAUUAAAGAGGCUUCACCGUAAGCCCGGUAAGGCACUAGAGCAGCUCUGCAGGAGAGUUAGUGAGGAGAGGGCUGCAUCUAGCAGUGCACAGGCAAGAAGGAAGCAGGCAGAGCCAACAUUGCUUUUCCCUCAUGAUGACGGUCCUUUAACAGAUCAUUUGGAGGGCCAACAGUACCGUAAGCUUGUAACACUUGUAGCCAGCUAUUUGGUAAACCACUGUGAUCUGUUAGCUCGUCUUCCCUGACGCCUGAGGUAUCAAAUAACUGUGCAGACUAUCAUAUGAUUGUUUCACUCAGUGUCUAAAUAAAUCUUGUAUAGUAGUGCGGGAAUUUCAUGCAUAUAGUUUAAACAAGAUUUUUCUGCCUUAUUUUUCCAUGUAUCAUUGUUAAAUGAGGCUAGUACUAAUUUCAAAAAUGUAUUUUCUGUCCUGAUGCUACAAAUUGGAUGACGUGGAAAUUAUGUAUGAUUUAGGUAAUAUCCACAACAAGCUGGUGCUCUCAAGCCAUUCGCUAUCAUUGUGCAGGAAGGGUGUCAUGUAACAGUAAAUUGAAGCGCGUAUUUAUUUUUUCAGAUGUCCUAACAAGCAGAACUACUUGUGAUGGAACAGUGGCUGAAAUAGAGAAAGUGACAAAGUCAUGGUUGCGACACGCAAAAGAAAGAAUGGAGCGCAAGGCUGUUAAACACCCAGAUAAUGGCAGAACCAAUGACGAAGCAGCACUUCCAACUGACCUGGGAGAAGCAAGCAUCAUGGAGGAAACGUCCCGCAGGCUGCUGGACAUAGAAGCGGACAAUGACGAUUCUGACCUGUAAAUUUAGCUCUAUUUUCCAUGUUGUAUGCCACUAGUCGUGGACAGUAUCUUGCAAACAAUCUUGCUUUGCAUAUUUUCUUGGGUGCCCCACAUUGUACUGAUUAUUUUGUAAUUAUUGUUUACUUUUAAAAUGGGGUAAACUGCUUCUUUUGAUUUUUUUUGCAUAAUUGUUUCCUUGUGUUGCAGCGGUGUCUUGUGGUUCCUUACAGACUACCAAGAGCACUGGCAGUGUAAAACUAUUUUUUACUGCAUAAUGUGUGUCCAUCCCCUUGUACUUCACCUUAGCCUGUUCUCCUAUUAGCGGAUCAGGUUACGGCUUGUUUCUCAAGUUUUAUGGCAGUCCCAAACUAGCAAACGUACCUCACCUGAAUACUAAAAGCCUACCAGCUCUUGCAAGUGUUUCUGUGAACCUUUUUUAUUUUUAUGCAGGAUGCUGAUCAGGAAUGCAGUGGUAAAUACCCUUCUAUGGAGACCCUCCAAUCAAUGGUGUCGACCAGAUUUUGCAUUAUUCCCAUUUACCGCCACCAAGCUACUUGCAGUCACCUGCGAUUUCAUGCGAGCGGAUUAAUCGCGACAUUGUCGGAACUGGUCGAUGCCAUUGGCUGAAAGGCCUCAUUUGAAAGUCCUUUGUCGCUAAGUUCGUAAUUGUAUCUAUUAUUGUUUUUCAUUCAGAUCAUUCAAUUCAGUUUUUAUUCAGUUGGCGUGUUUUUAGCAUUGUAUUUUCGAUGUUGUCCUUUUCUUGCACAUUUCCUGGUAGGCUUUUGCAAUACGUCAGGAAUGUUAUAUCUUGGCAUAUUACAAGCACCAAUAUAGCUGCCGCAUUUUGAUAUUACGAAUGCCGUGAAAUUUCCUUCUGUUACAAGGUGUGCACAGAUUUUGGUCUGCUUUUGCUAGCCAGAAAGAAAUUCCUGUCUUUCGACCCUCUCUUUACUGUGUGCGCCCCACUCCUAGUCAGAUAAAUUUUUUGUAGCAGCUAGCCUGAUGCUUUUGACAUGAAAACAGUGUCUAUGCAAUGUGCGAAACUAGUCCUUUCCGCUUCUUGUGAACUGUUAUUGCAUUUAUUUACAUCACAAGCGUGUCAAUCACUGCCAAUAAAAAAAUGGCCUUUCUGAUGUAUGCACAACCUUUGUACCCCUUUUGAAUGCCAAAGCUUUACAUAUUUUCUUAAAAUUUUAUUUCUGUAAGUUUUUGAGAUGGUAGUUUUGUUCACAAUAUUGUUAUAAAUAUGCUGUUUUGAAAUGUUUGUGUGGAAAUAUCAUUGUGCAGUUUACAAAAUGACUAGUUACUCGUAAUGAAAGUGCACAUGGUAUGCACAAGUUAUGUGCAGAGCUUUUGAUUAGUGUGCGUGUCUGUCAUAUUGACUGAGAAUUUUGUAAUUCCUAAAAUAAAAUUAUAUUUGAUGUUGAA